rnacentral:rRNA from 1 species
CAGUAGCCGCGGUAAUACGAAGGGGGCUAGCGUUGUUCGGAAUUACUGGGCGUAAAGCGCACGUAGGCGGAUAUUUAAGUCAGGGGUGAAAUCCCGCAGCUCAACUGCGGAACUGCCUUUGAUACUGGGUAUCUUGAGUAUGGAAGAGGUUAGUGGAAUUGCGAGUGUAGAGGUGAAAUUCGUUGAUAUUCGCAGGAACACCAGUGGCGAAGGCGGCUAACUGGUCCAUAACUGACGCUGAGGUGCGAAAGCGUGGGGAGCAAACAGGAUUAGAUACCCGAGUAGUCCCUGUCUCUUAUAC